UGAGUCUCACCAUAGACGACUAUAGAUUAUACAGCCAGCUGAGUCUCACCAUAGACUACUAUAGAUUAUACAGUCAACUGAGUCUCACCAUAGAUUAUACAGUCAGAUGAGUCUCACCAUAGACUACUAUAGAUUAUACAGUCAGCAGAGUCUCACCAUAGACUACUAUAGAUUAUACAGCCAGCUGAGUCUCACUACUCCUCACCAUAGACUACUAUAGAUUAUACAGCCAGCUGAGUCUCACCAUAGACUACUAUAGAUUAUACAGCCAGCUGAGUCUCACCAUACACCACUAUAGAUUAUACAGCCAGCUGAGUCUCACCAUAGACUACUAUAGAUUAUACAGCCAGCUGAGUCUCACCAUAGACUACUAUAGAUUAUACAGCCAGCUGAGUCUCACCAUACACCACUAUAGAUUAUACAGCCAGCUGAGUCUCACCAUAGACUACUAUAGAUUAUACAGCCAGCUGAGUCUCACCAUAGACUACUAUAGAUUAUACAGCCAGCUGAGUCUCACUACUCCUCACCAUAGACUACUAUAGAUUAUACAGCCAGCUGAGUCUCACCAUAGACUACUAUAGAUUAUGCAGUCAGCUGAGUCUCACCAUAGACUACUAUAGGUUAUACAGCCAGCUGAGUCUCACCAUAGACUACUAUAGAUUAUACAGCCAGCUGAGUCUCACUACUCCUCACCAUAGACUGCUAUAGAUUAUACAGCCAGCUGAGUCUCACCAUAGACUACUGUAGAUUAUGCAGUCAGCUGAGUCUCACUACUCCUCACCAUAGACUGCUAUAGAUUAUACAGCCAGCUGAGUCUCACCAUAGACUACUGUAGAUUAUGCAGUCAGCUGAGUCUCACCAUAGACUACUAUAGAUUAUACAGCCAGCUGAGUCUCACCAUAGACUACUAUAGAUUAUACAGCCAGCUGAGUCUCACCAUAGACUACUAUAGAUUAUACAGCCAGCUGAGUCUCACUACUCCUCACCAUAGACUGCUAUAGAUUAUGCAGUCAGCUGAGUCUCACCAUAGACUACUAUAGGUUAUGCAGUCAGCUGAGUCUCACCAUAGACUACUAUAGGUUAUACAGCCAGCUGAGUCUCACUACUCCUCACCAUAGACUACUAUAGAUUAUACAGCCAGCUGAGUCUCACUACUCCUCACCAUAGACUGCUAUAGAUUAUACAGCCAGCUGAGUCUCACCAUAGACUACUGUAGAUUAUACAGUCAGCUGAGUCUCACCAUAGACUACUAUAGAUUAUACAGCCAACUGACUGUCACUCCAGACCAUAAACUCCAGCAAACUGACCACCAUUUGAGCACCAAUUCAUUACAUAGAGUGAUAUAUCUAGGCCUAUCACUCUACCACUAUACUUCUGACAUUAGAACUACAGAAACAUUCUACCGCUAUACUUCUGACAUAGAACUACUGUAACAUUCUAGCGUCUGGAUUAUUCUGACAUAGAACUACAGUAACAUUCUAGCGUCUGGAUUAUUCUGACAUAGAACUACAGUAACAUUCUAGCCUCUGACAUAGAACUACAGUAACAUUCUAGCGUCUGGAUUAUUCUGACAUAGAAUUACAGUAACAUUCUAGCCUCUGAAUUAUUCUGACACAGAACUACUGUAACAGUCUACCACUAUACUUCUGACAUAGAACUACUGUAACAUUCUAGCGUCUGGAUUAUUCUGACAUAGAACGACAGUAACAUUCUACCACUAUACUUCUGACAUAGAACUACAGUAACAUUCUAGCCUCUGAAUUAUUCUGACAUAGAACUACAGUUAUAGCCUGGAGGUUUCCUCAGGGCAGGGAGAGAGAAGGGAGAGGUUAGCCUGGAGGUUUCCUCAGGGCAGGGAGAGAGAAGGGAGAGUUAGCCUGGAGGUUUCCUCAGGGCAGGGAGAGAGAAGGGAGAGGUUAGCCUGGAGGUUUCCUCAGGGCAGGGAGAGAGAAGGGAGAGGUUUGCCCGGAGGUUUCCUCAGGGCAGGGAGAGAGAAGGGAGAGGUUAGCCCGGAGGUUUCCUCAGGGCAGGGAGAGAGAAGGGAGAGGUUAGCCCGGAGGUUUCCUCAGGGCAGGGAGAGACAAGGGAGAGGUUAGCCCAGAGGUUUCCUCAGGGCAGGGAGAGAGAAGGGAGAGGUUAGCCCGGAGGUUUCCUCAGGGCAGGGAGAGAGAAGGGAGAGAUUAGCCCGGAGGUUUCCUCAGGGCAGGGAGAGGUUAGCCCGGAGGUUUCCUCAGGGCAGGGAGAGUUAGAAGGGAGAGGUUAGCCUGGAGGUUUCCUCAGGGCAGGGAGAGAGAAGGGAGAGUUAGCCUGGAGGUUUCCUCAGGGCAGGGAGAGAGAAGGGAGAGGUUAGCCUGGAGGUUUCCUCAGGGCAGGGAGAGAGAAGGGAGAGUUAGCCUGGAGGUUUCAACUGUGUGUGUGUGUGUGUCAUGGCUGGCCUGCCUUCAGAAGUCAAAGUUGGAUCAUAGUAAUGUAAAUAGCUUUUUAGAACUGUAGUAAUGAACUGAUAACAGUCAGCCGGUUUCAGACACAGACAUGUUGUUUAUCAAAUCAUCUUGUCACAGGAUACAGCUCAAAUGGCACCCUAUUCCCUAAAUAGUGCACAACUUUUCACCAGGGUCCAUAGUGCUUGGGUCAAAUGUAGUGGACUUUAUAGGGAACAGGGCCCUACUUGGAAUGCUGUUAUGGAGUAGCUCUUCUGUCCUUCCUUUCUGCUUCCAUGGAGUUGGUGUUCCAGGAAAUGGUGUGGAUGAGGGGAGCAUGUCCUGCUGCAGACACACACACACACACACACACACACACACACACACUUUGACUGUUGAAACCCCCGGGCUUUCCAUUCUUUCUCCUAGUCAUCAGGAAGCCAGGAACAUUUCUGACUUGAAAGUGAGGACUGUAACAGGAGAAAUUCCCAAGAACUUCAGACUGUUGAUGGUCCUGCAAUGGUUUCUCUUUACGUCCUGUUCUCUUUAAGUCCGGUUUCUCUUGGUCUUCCCUGUAGCUCAGUUGGUAGAGCAUGGUGUUUGCAACGCCAGGGUUGUGGGUUCGUUUCCCACGGGGG